rnacentral:rRNA from 1 species
GAUUAGAUUUUAUUUAUUAAUUUUAUUUAUUUAUUUAAUUUAUUUAAUAAAAAUAAUUUUAAAAUUUUAAGUUUUAGUAUUUUAUUAAAGAAAAAAAUAUUUUAAUUAUAGUUUAUUUGUAUUGUAAAAGAAAAUUGAAAUAAUUUGAAAAAUUUUUAUUUUAUAUGAAAAUUAAUUUAUGUACCUUGUGUAUCAGGGUUUAUUAAAUAAAAAAUUAUUAUAUAAUUUUUCUCGAAUUUUAAAGAUUUAAUUAUAUAUAAAAGUUACUGUGGAAUAAUUAUUUUUAAUAUAUAAUUAGAAAUGAAAUGUUAAUCGUUUUAAAAUAUAUCUAGUUUUUUAAGAAAUAAAUUUAAUUUAGACUUAUAAAUUUAAAUUAUUUAAUUAAUAUAAAUAAUUUAAUUUAUAAGAUUAAUAUUUUAAGGGAUUAGCUUUAAAAUAAAUUUUUAAAUUUUAAAUUAAUUAUUUAAUAAAUAUAAGCUUAAAAAUAGCUAUUAUUAAUAAAUUUGUUAUAAUUUAUUUUAAAAAUUUAAUUAUUUAUUAUAAAAUUAAAUUAUUUAUUAAAAUAUAAAUUUUAAUAAUAAAAAUUUAUAAAUUAUGAUAAAAUUAGUAUAUAAAAUUUUUAUAAAUAAUUAUUUAUGAAAGGUUUAAAUAAGGAAUUCGGCAAAAUAUAUAUUCACCUGUUUAUCAAAAACAUGUCUUUUUGAAUUAAAUUUAAAGUCUAACCUGCCCACUGAUAUAAAUUAAAGGGCCGCAGUAUUUUGACUGUGCGAAGGUAGCAUAAUCACUAGUCUUUUAAUUGGAGGCUUGUAUGAAUGGUUGAAUGAGAUAUAUACUGUCUUUUUUAAAAUUAUAUAGAAUUUUAUUUUUUAAUUAAAAAGUUAAAAUAAAAUUAAAGGACGAGAAGACCCUAUAGAUCUUUAUUUUUGUUAUUUAUAAAUUAAAAAGAAUUUUAAAAUUUAUAAUUUAAUAAAAAAUUUUAUUGGGGUGAUAUUAAAAUUUAAAAAACUUUUAAAAUUUAUUAACAUAAAUAUAUGAAUAAAUGAUCCAGUUUUAUUGAUUAAAAAUUUAAGUUACCUUAGGGAUAACAGCGUAAUUUUUUUUUAGAGUUCAUAUCGACAAAAAAGAUUGCGACCUCGAUGUUGGAUUAAGAGUUAUUUUUAGGUGUAGAAGUUUAAAGUUUAGGUCUGUUCGACCUUUGAAUUCUUACAUGAUCUGAGUUCAAACCGGCGUAAGCCAGGUUGGUUUCUAUCCUUAAUUAAUUAUUAUGUUAUAGUACGAAAGGACCUAAUAUAAGAAAUAUAAAUUUUAAUAAUAUGAUUAAUAUUAAUAUUAGA